UCAUAGACCAAAUGGAGCAAACAGCACGCAGACCUAGUGGUGGGAGGAAAAAAUCCUUAAAUAAGAGACACGGGGAAUGAUUAAUGGACUUCAAUGUCUGUACACUAAUGCGCAAAGCAUGGGAAAUAAACAAGAUGAGCUUGAGCUCUUGGUACAGCAAACUAAAUAUGACAUAAUAGGCAUCACUGAAACCUGGUGGGAUAAGUCCCAUGAUUGGAAUGUAAUAAUGGAGGGAUACAAUCUAUUUCAGAGAAACAGACCAGACAAGAAAGGAGGAGGAGUGGCGUUAUAUGUCAGGGAUGUGUAUACCUGUGAAGAGAUCCAAGAUUUAGAACCUCAAAGCCAAAGUGAGAGCAUUUGGGUCAAAAUUAAGGAGAGAAGAAUAACAGUGACCUCAUUGUGGGAGUUUACUAUAGAUCCCCAAGCCAAACGGAGGACGUAGAUGAUGCCUUCCUGGAACAGAUGGCCAAGCAUGCAAAAGGAAGGAGAUAGUAGUAAUGGGGGACUUCAAUUACCCGGAUAUUUGUUGGAUGUCAAACUCAGCCAAGAGCAUAAGGUCAAACAGAUUCCUCACUGCCCUUGCAGACAACUUCAUUGUCCAGAAAGUGGGAGAAGCAACAAGAGGAGCAGCCAUUUUAGAUCUGGUCCUAACCAAUGUUGAUGACCUGAUUAGUGGGGUAGAAGUGGAAGGAUCAUUAGGCGCGAGUGAUCAUGCUCUUCUGAAGUUUACUAUACAGCGGAAAGGAGCAGCCAAGCAUACUAGGACUCAAUUUCUUGACUUUAAGAAAGCCGACUUCAUAAAACUUAGGGAAGUGAUGGGUGAGAUCCCAUGGACAGUAAUACUAAAAGGAAAGGGAGUUCAUGAUGGCUGGGAGUUUGUUAAGAGGGAGAUAGUAAAAGCACAACUUCAGGCAAUACCAAUGAGACGGAAACAUGGAAGGUGCCUAAAGAAGCCAGGGUGGCUAUCUAAAGAACUUUUAACUGAGUUAAGAUUAAAAAGGAUGUGUACAAAAGAUGGAAAAGGGGGGGAAACCACCAAAGAGGAAUUCAAACAAAUAGCCAGCACGUGUAGACACAAAGUCAGAAAAGCUAAAGCACAGAAUGAACUCAGGCUUGCUAGAGAGGUUAAAAGCAACAAAAAAGGCUUUUAUGGGUAUGUUCGUAGCAAAAGGAAGAACAAAGAAACAGUGGGGUCACUCAGAGGAGAAGAUGGUGAAAUGCAAACAGGGGACACAGAAAGGGCUGAACUCCUCAAUGCCUUCUUUGCUUCAGUCUUCUCCGAUAAAGAAAACAAUGCCCGACCUGAAGAAUUUGGAGCAAAUGAUUCAGCAGAGGAAACAUAGCCCAGAAUAACUAAGGAGAUAGUACAAGAAUACUUGGCUAGUUUAGAUGUAUUCAAGUCUCCAGGGCCAGAUGAACUGCAUCCAAGAGUAUUAAAAGAACUGGCAGAUGUGAUCUCAGAACCACUGGCAGUCAUCUUUGAGAAUUCCUGGAGAACAGGCGAAGUCCCAGCAGACUGGAGGAGGGCAAAUGUCCCUAUUUUCAAAAAGGGGAAAAGAGAGGACCCAAAUAAUUACCGCCCAGUCAGUCUGACAUCAAUACCAGGGAAGAUUCUGGAGCAGAUCAUUAAGCAAACAGUCUGUGAGCACCUAGAAAGGAAUGCUGUGAUCACCAAUAGUCAGCAUGGAUUUCUGAAAAAUAAGUCAUGUCAGACUAACCUGAUCUCGUUUUUUGACAGAAUUACAAGCCUGGUAGAUGAAGGGAACGCAGUGGAUGUAGCCUACCUUGAUUUCAGCAAGGCAUUUGACAAGGUGUCCCAUGAUAUUCUUGUAAAGAAGCUGGUAAAAUGCGGUCUUGACAAUGCUACCACUCAGUGGAUUUGUAACUGGCUGACUGACCGAACCCAAAGGGUGCUCAUCAAUGGUUCCUCUUCUUUUUUUUUAACAAUAAUUUUUUAUUAACCGACCAAUCACAUCAAAUCAAACCAAAUUACAUAAAUUCCAAAUUACACAGCUGAAUUUUAAAUUUUUGUUGGGGAUACCCAUAUUUCAAGUUCCGAAGGGAUCCAAUCAACUUCUUGCUUCUUACUGCUGUUUUAAUGUCCACAAAUCUAACCUUAUGAUGUUCACAGUACUAUCCAGUCCUUUCUUAUUAUUUUUCCACAUCUCUUGUUGUUAUUUUCAUAUAUUUUUCCUUUCUCUUUGUGACCUCUGAUAGUCUCCACAAGCUGGUUAGAACAGUUUGUAAUCCUGCGUGGAUAUUAAUUUUUUUAUCCAGUAGCCAUAUCCAGACGUUUUCCAUAUAACAUCACUUCCAUACAUCAAAACAGUCUUAGCGUCAUUAAUCUUCACCAAUCUGCAUCCUUUCUCAAAACCUCUGAGGAGAUUCACUAGGAAUGCAGUCUGAAAACAAACCCGUUCUUCCUCCCGGCUAUAAAUCCUUUGGCAAGAUGGCAACUCCGAAUUAAUUGCUGCGCCAUUCCCAAAAGCUCUUAUUGCUUCUCGGUCUCCAUAAAGCAUACUUUUGGUUAAAGUUUAUCUACACACAGACCUUAAUCAUCCUGCUUGGGUCAGUUCAACCGACGGUUCUAAUGAGGAGGGGUUCUUGUAAAUCACAUAGAAGGAAAGUAAAAAAGGUUCCCCCCUCAUUCAGCCCCGUUGUCAACAUACCCCGCCUUUGGUGUAUCUUCAUCGUAAAAUAUUCCUGUUUCUCCAGCCCAUCGUCUUCUUUCGCAGAGGUCACUUAAAUUAGCAGACUUCACUCCCCUUCUUCACUUGAAAUAUGUGCAUUUGCUUCUUUUGUAAUUAAUUAUUCCAAAUUGCUGCAACUACUGCGCGAUCAGAGACAGCGUCCAGGAGAGCCGAUGUCCACACGGGGGCAUUCUGCCUAGGGACCUCACCCCCUUCUUUCGAAUUAAGGAGUGAUUUAUGGGCACAGCAGGCAAGGGCAGUGUUCCCCAUUUCCUUGGGGCAACAAGGGAGGCUGCCUACUCCCAUAACAGCCUCUUAAUUACCCCGUGUGGGUCGGAGAGAUGGUAUUGUCGGCCAUCUUCCAAUGCGCCCCCUAGUGGCCCCCCAUCAAUGGUUCCUCUUCAUCCUGGAGAAGAGUGACUAGUGGGGUGCCACAGGGUUCUGUCUUGGGCCCGGUCUUAUUCAACAUCUUUAUCAACGACUUGGAUGAUGGACUCAAGGGCAUCCUGAUCAAAUUUGCAGAUGACACCAAACUGGGAGGGGUGGCUAACACCCCAGAGGACAGGAUCACACUUCAAAACGACCUUGACAGAUUAGAGAACUGGGCCAAAACAAACAAGAUGAAUUUUAACAGGGAGAAAUGUAAAGUAUUGCACUUGGGCAAAAAAAUGAGAGGCACAAAUACAAGAUGGGUGACACCUGGCUUGAGAGCAGUACAUGUGAAAAGGAUCUAGGAGUCUUGGUUGACCACAAACUUGACAUGAGCCAACAGUGUGACGCGGCAGCUAAAAAGCCAAUGCAAUUCUGGGCUGCAUCAAUAGGAGUAUAGCAUCUAGAUCAAGGGAAGUAAUAGUGCCACUGCAUUCUGCUCUGGUCAGACCUCACCUGGAGUACUGUGUCCAGUUCUGGGCACCACAGUUCAAGAAGGACACUGACAAACUGGAACGUGUCCAGAGGAGGGCAACCAAAAUGGUCAAAGGCCUGGAAACGAUGCCUUAUGAGGAACGGCUAAGGGAGCUGGGCAUGUUUAGCCUGCAGAAGAGGAGGUUAAGGGGUGAUAUGAUAGCCAUGUUCAAAUAUAGAAAAGGAUGUCACAUAGAGGAGGGAGAAAGGUUGUUUUCUGCUGCUCCAGAGAAGCAGACACGGAGCAAUGGAUCCAAACUACAAGAAAGAAGAUUGCACCUAAACAUUAGGAAGAACUUCCUGACAGUAAGAGCUGUUCGACAGUGGAAUUUGCUGCCAAGGAGUGUGGUGGAGUCUCCUUCUUUGGAGGUCUUUAAGCAGAGGCUUGACAACCAUAUGUCAGGAGUGCUCUGAUGGUGUUUCCUGCUUGGCAGGGGGUUGGACUCGAUGGCCCUUGUGGUCUCUUCUAUGAUUCUAUGGAAGCCGUUAGGGGCCAGGAAUCAGAUUCCUCUUUGUCAGGUGCUGGAGGUGAGGAGGAGUCCUCUGAAUCUGAAGGGAAAAGACAGGGCCAGGCCAGCCCCACAAGCAUGUGGUAAAUCUGGGUCUUGGGUAUAGCACUUCAGGAUGCAGCUUGGAGCGUAUAGGACUGAAAGCUGCUCUAGCUUCCCCUGUCCCCUGAACAAAAUUCCUUUCACAUAGAAAGGUAGCAUGUGAGGGAGAAGGCUCUCGUCCCUCAAAUCCACAUUUUUCUGUAGAGCAAAGAUGGAGGAGCUGGAGCCCCUCAGAUGUUGUUGGACCACAGCUGCCAUCACCUCAUGACCAUUGGCAAUGCUGACUGGGGUUCAUGGGAGCUGGAGUCCAACAAAAUAUGAAGUUCCAGCGGUUCCUCAAAAGAGACUUUUUCAACUGGAGGAGUGUUCAAUUAUAUGCACCCUAAACUGCAAUCUAAAGCGGGACUAGGAAACCUUUUUCAUCCUGAGGGCCACAUUCCUUUGUGGGCAGCUUCCAAGGGCCACAUGCCGUUGGUGGAUGGGGCCAAAUGCCAAAGUGGAUAUAGCAACAAAUACAAAAAUUGCUAUUCU
rnacentral:lncRNA from 1 species